rnacentral:rRNA from 1 species
AUUGAACGCUAGCGGGAUGCCCUACACACGCAAGUCGAACGGAGUGGCGAACGGGUGAUUAAUGUAUCGGAACGUGCCCAGUAGCGGGGGAUAACUACGCGAAAGCGUAGCUAAUACCGCAUACUAUUGGAGCGGCCUAUAUCGGAUUAGCUAGUUGGUGGGGUAACGGCUCACCAAGGCGACGAUCCGUAGCUGGUUUGACAGGACGACCAGCCACAAUGAGACUAUGACACGGGCCGGACUCCUGCGAGAGGCGACAGUGGGGAAUUUUGGACGAAGGGGGAAACCCAGAACCAGCCAUCCCGCGUGUGCGAAGAAGGCCUUCGGGUUGUAAAGCACUUUUGGCAGGAAAGCGGUACCUGCAGAAGAAGCACCGGCUAACUACGUGCCAGCAGCCGCGGUAAUAC